AGCACCAGAGCGCUCCCCGCCUGGGGACAUCUGACGAGUCUCAGGAGGCCGCAGCUCGGAGGAGAUUCCAGGGGAAACGGAAAGAAUUGUUCAUACUUCCUGGCUCCACUUCCUGAGUUCUCAUUCACCCCCGACUGCAGUGGAGUGAAGACUGACCUGGGUAACCUGCUCUAUGGGACUCUGGGCCAGUUAAUGAACUACUCCAAGCCUCAGUUUCUCCACUGUGACUUCUAAAUGAGAAACAGCACAACUAACGGCCAAGUUCACUGUUGCUUAAGCAUCUCUCAUUCUCUUACAACACUUGAUCUUGCUAUUUGCUCCACUGUGUAUGAUCUUUCCUGUGCAACUGAAAUAUAUGGAAUCUGGAAUUUUCUUCAAACCAGGAACUAAUUCCUUUAAUUUCAUCAA